rnacentral:tRNA from 1 species
AGAGAAUUGACCGAGUGGUCUAUGGUGGUAAGCUUGAAACUUAUUUGGUUAAUAUAAUCACAUCCGUUCGAAUCGGAUAUUCUCUG